AUACGUAGGUGGCAAGCGUUGUCCGGAAUUAUUGGGCGUAAAGCGCGCGCAGGUGGUUCCUUAAGUCUGAUGUGAAAGCCCCCGGCUCAACCGGGGAGGGUCAUUGGAAACUGGGGAACUUGAGUGCAGAAGAGGAUAGUGGAAUUCCAAGUGUAGCGGUGAAAUGCGUAGAGAUUUGGAGGAACACCAGUGGCGAAGGCGACUGUCUGGUCUGUAACGGACACUGAGGCGCGAAAGCGUGGGGAGCAAACAGGAUUAGAUACCCUGGUAGUCCGCGCCGUAAACGAUGAGUGCUAAGUGUUGGGGGGUUUCCGCCCCUCAGUGCUGCAGCUAACGCAUUAAGCACUCCGCCUGGGGAGUACGGUCGCGAGACUGAAACUCAAAGGAAUUGGCGGGG
rnacentral:rRNA from 1 species